rnacentral:rRNA from 1 species
AGAGUUUGAUCCUGGCUCAGGAUGAACGCUGGCGGCGUGCCUAAUACAUGCAAGUCGAGCGAACGGACGAGAAGCUUGCUUCUCUGAUGUUAGCGGCGGACGGGUGAGUAACACGUGGAUAACCUACCUAUAAGACUGGGAUAACUUCGGGAAACCGGAGCUAAUACCGGAUAAUAUUUUGAACCGCAUGGUUCAAAAGUGAAAGACGGUCUUGCUGUCACUUAUAGAUGGAUCCGCGCUGCAUUAGCUAGUUGGUAAGGUAACGGCUUACCAAGGCAACGAUGCAUAGCCGACCUGAGAGGGUGAUCGGCCACACUGGAACUGAGACACGGUCCAGACUCCUACGGGAGGCAGCAGUAGGGAAUCUUCCGCAAUGGGCGAAAGCCUGACGGAGCAACGCCGCGUGAGUGAUGAAGGUCUUCGGAUCGUAAAACUCUGUUAUUAGGGAAGAACAUAUGUGUAAGUAACUGUGCACAUCUUGACGGUACCUAAUCAGAAAGCCACGGCUAACUACGUGCCAGCAGCCGCGGUAAUACGUAGGUGGCAAGCGUUAUCCGGAAUUAUUGGGCGUAAAGCGCGCGUAGGCGGUUUUUUAAGUCUGAUGUGAAAGCCCACGGCUCAACCGUGGAGGGUCAUUGGAAACUGGAAAACUUGAGUGCAGAAGAGGAAAGUGGAAUUCCAUGUGUAGCGGUGA